GACUCCGUAGCUCAGAGGUUAGAGCAUACGAUUGCAGCCAGGCGCUUAUCGUGUUGUCGCGUGUUCGACUCACGCCGGGGUCU